rnacentral:tRNA from 2 species
GUCGGGGUGGCGGAACAGGCAGACGCGCACGUUUGAGGGGCGUGUGGUUAAUACCAUGUGGGUUCAAGUCCCAUCCCCGACACCA